rnacentral:rRNA from 1 species
CCUACGGGUGGCAGCAGUGAGGAAUAUUGGUCAAUGGCCGCAGGGCUGAACCAGCCAAGUCGCGUGAGGGAUGACGGUACUAUGGAUUGUACACCUCUUUUGUCAGGGAGCAAAGGGCGCCACGUGUGGCGUUUUGCGAGUACCUGAAGAAAAAGCAUCGGCUAACUCCGUGCCAGCAUUCGAGGUAAUACGGAGGAUGAGAGCGUUACCUGGAUUUUGUGGGUUCAAAGGGUGCGCAGGCGGAAUGUCAAGUCAGUGGUAAAAUUUCGGGGCUCAACCCCGUUCUGCCGUUGAAACUGGCGUUCUUGAGUGAGCGAGAGGUAUGCGGAAUGCGUGGUGUAGCGGUGAAAUGCAUAGAGAUCACGCAGAACUCCGAUUGCGAAGGCAGCAUACCGGCGCUCAACUGACGCUCAUGCACGAAAGCGUGGGUAUCGAACAGGAUUAGAUACCCGAGUAGUC